rnacentral:rRNA from 1 species
CCUACGGGUGGCAGCAGUGAGGAAUAUUGGUCAAUGGACGAGAGUCUGAACCAGCCAAGUAGCGUGAAGGAUGACUGCCCUAUGGGUUGUAAACUUCUUUUAUAUGGGAAUAAAAUGUGCCACGGGUGGGAUUUUGUAUGUACCAUAUGAAUAAGGAUAGGCUAACUCCGUGCCAGCAGCCGCGGUAAGACGGAGGAUCCGAGCGUUAUCCGGAUUUAUUGGGGUUAAAGGGAGCGUAGGGGGAUUGUUAAGUCAGUUGUGUAAGUUUGCGGCUCAACCGUAAAAUUGCAGUUGAAACUGGCAGUCUUGAGUACAGUAGAGGUGGGCGUCAUUCGUGUUGUCGCGGUGACAUGCUU